AUUGAACGCUGGCGGCAUGCCUUACACAUGCAAGUCGAACGGUAACAGGUCUUCGGAUGCUGACGAGUGGCGAACGGGUGAGUAAUACAUCGGAACGUGCCCGAUCGUGGGGGAUAACUACUCGAAAGAGUAGCUAAUACCGCAUACGAUCUACGGAUGAAAGCGGGGGAUCUUCGGACCUCGUGCGGACGGAGCGGCCGAUGGCCGAUUAGGUAGUUGGUGGGAUGAAAGCUUACCAAGCCGACGAUCUGUAGCUGGUCUGAGAGGACGACCAGCCACACUGGGACUGAGACACGGCCCAGACUCCUACGGGAGGCAGCAGUGGGGAAUUUUGGACAAUGGGCGAAAGCCUGAUCCAGCAAUGCCGCGUGCAGGAUGAAGGCCUUCGGGUUGUAAACUGCUUUUGUACGGAACGAAAAGACUCCUUCUAAUACAGGGGGUCCAUGACGGUACCGUAAGAAUAAGCACCGGCUAACUACGUGCCAGCCGCCGCGGUAAAAC
rnacentral:rRNA from 1 species